AGCGAACGCUGGCGGCAGGCUUAACACAUGCAAGUCGAGCGGGCACUUUCGGGUGUCAGCGGCGGACGGGUGAGUAACGCGUGGGAACGUGCCCUCUGGUUCGGAAUAACUCAGGGAAACUUGAGCUAAUACUGGAUACGCCCUUUUGGGGAAAGGCUUGCUGCCGGAGGAUCGGCCCGCGUCUGAUUAGCUAGUUGGUGAGGUAACGGCUCACCAAGGCGACGAUCAGUAGCUGGUCUGAGAGGAUGAUCAGCCACACUGGGACUGAGACACGGCCCAGACUCCUACGGGAGGCAGCAGUGGGGAAUAUUGGACAAUGGGCGCAAGCCUGAUCCAGCCAUGCCGCGUGAGUGAUGAAGGCCUUAGGGUUGUAAAGCUCUUUUAUCCGGGACGAUAAUGACGGUACCGGAGGAAUAAGCCCCGGCUAACUUCGUG
rnacentral:rRNA from 1 species